CCCCCUGCCCACAUCCUCCCCAUGUCCGCUAAUGACGCACAGGCGGGGUGCACCGCUGCAUCCGUUCUUUCCAGGCUCUCGCCUCUAGCAGAUGGGGCGUACUGGCAUGGUCUUGCUCCAUCGCCGCCCCGACGCACAACGGCCACGCCACGACCAGUGAGAUCCGCGCGAGGUGGGAGAUGCAUCAGGGAGGUUUCAGGCUGCUCACCGGCGAAGCCCUCCAACUAGCGGCCAGACACAGGCGAGGUGGAUUUCGUGGUGUUAUUGCCAGGAGAGGUCUUUUUGUUUCUGCGAGAACGAUAUGUCCAAGAAUUCAGGUUAAGUUCAGCCACCAUGUACCUCUACUACGAGGGCAUGCCAGAUUCUCCACAAGCUCAGCAGCGAGUCAUACGACUUCCUCUGCAGGCACUGUAACCACUUCUAUACGUGCUCUGCCAUAAGCUUGGCAUCCCCAAUCUUCCAAGAAACAAUUUGAAUUAUGGCAAGGAUUGGAAUUAUGUCUUUCAUGAGGCUAUUACCUCAAAUGCUGCGCCAGUUUUUUAGGUACUUGCACA
rnacentral:rRNA from 1 species